rnacentral:rRNA from 1 species
UACGAGGGGGGCGAGCGUUGUUCGGAAUUAUUGGGCGUAAAGGGUGCGUAGGCGGUUUGGUAAGUCUUGUGUGAAAUCUACAGGCUCAACUUGUAGUCUGCACGAGAAACUGCCGGGCUUGAGUAUGGGAGAGGUGAGUGGAAUUCCUGGUGUAGCGGUGAAAUGCGUAGAUAUCAGGAGGAACACCUGUGGCGAAAGGCGGUUCUCUGGGCAUGACCUGACGCUGAGGAGCGAAAGUGUGGGGAGCGAACAGG